rnacentral:misc_RNA from 1 species
UACAAGUUUGCAGUAUUUGUAGAUUAUGCAGCAUCAUGUGCCAUUGGGCAUGUAAUCUGAAGUACUGUUCUUUUCCUGAUGGUUCAUCUUAUUAGCAUUGAGCUGAUGAUAUGUGUAAAAUCUGAAUUUUGUUUGAUUGUGUCACGACCCAAAAUUCUGAAUCGUGACCGGCGCAUAAUUUAAGUAUUCUUAAAUCAUGCAAGCCUUAUCAGAGUAUCUUGAAUGAAUAUAUAUUGUCACUUACUAAUCCCAAAAAUAGACAAAAUUCAAAUAAACAAAAUGCUGAAUAAACAUCAUAAAUAUCCCAUAGGUAAACUGCGGAGUCUCUACAGAUUUCAAUAAAAACUCAAACUGUUCAAUAAACUAAAUUAAUUAUUAGCCCGAGAAAACGUGAAUUCGGGCAUACCAUGAGAACAAAUCAAAGAUUGUCUCUCUCCAGAAAAUGGACUGAAUAUUUGGAUCAGCUGCAGAAUUCUACUGAUCUGAAACAGAUAACAGACAGAGAAAACGUGGUUUGAGCUAGAUGCUCAGUGAAUGAUAAUUAUAGCACACAACGGAAUAGGAACAGGCAGACGCUUGAUUAAUUUCACAAUAAAUUUUCUAUUCAAUAAAAUCAUGCUCAUGCUGUCAAAAUCAUUAAUAAAAUAAUUUCGUAAAACAUAUAUAUAAAAUAAAUUCAUUCAAUAAAAUUUUUAUGGUACAGUGUACCAGGGUGAUGAUACCCCACAUCACCAAAGGCCAGAUGGUAAGCGCGCUACCAGAUAUCAGAUACCUUCCUCCUCCUUCACAGAUAUCAAUGCAUAUGAUACUAAUGCAAACCAUAAACUGCAAUGAUGCAUGACUCGACAAUGCAACCUAAUACCGUGAUAGUCCACACGGCGGGGCCAGAUAACAGAAACAGAUACUGGGCACAGGUACCAAUUCAAAAUAGAAAAUCAAUUUGUACAAAUCAAUCAAAAUCAAUAAAAAAUUUCAGAUAGCAAAUAAUAACUGAUAGUGCAAUUCCAAUAGUGUAUUUCAAUAGUUUCAGAGAGUCAAUAAAAUCAAAUCACUCUCAAAUCAAUUCAAUAAAAUCA